UCUUUCACCAGUCACGAUGGACAUGGAUCUGAACUGCAGAUGGUGACUCAAGUGUAUUGCUCUGUGAAUGACCUAAAUUUGGAGGGGAGGCCUGUGGGAAUUUGCUACAUGAGGGGAAGAUUCCUGAUUUGGAUAAAAUGUUAAAUCACCAGCACACUGACUCACCCUAGCAGCUCAGAGGACAGAAAAUAAGGCAGCCAACUCAUCUCCAUUGGCAAAGAGAGUUGUCAGUAAUAGCAGCUAUUCACAAACAGAACAAGAAUCACGUGCAUGGGUAAAACAAGGCCUGCAUCAUAGACUGCCAAUGGAAAUACACACCACUCAGGCAACUACAGAAAAAAUGUACAGAUUUCUUGCACUAUGGAAAUAAGAGAAUUAUCAGUUGGGAGAUGGAAAAAGUCCCUGCCAAAGUGACCUUCCUUUAGCCCUGUGGAAUUGGUUUAGAGCAUCUUACAAGAAAUUGUCAUCGGAGUCCACAGAUCAAAUGAAGCCUAUGUAAUUUGCAAUAUUAAAACAGGUAUUUUGCUACUGACAUGGGCAUUGUCCUUAAUCUGGUAGUUUACCAUUAAUUUAACAUAGGUUGGGGAUUUUUUUGAUCUGUGAAAAUGUGUGCCUUUUUUAUAUCUAUUCUUGGAAAACAUAAUCUUAACCAGACAAAGACAUAUAUCCCUCUGUACAUCCCAGCUGUGCCAUUAUUUUCCUGACUGUUUAUGGAAAACAAGAUAAUGUGUUUGACAGCCUUAUUUUUUUUCCACUGUACUGUUCUAACCUAAGGAAUGUUUCUACCACAACCAUGUGUUUCCACUUAAUAUUCACUGUUCUCUGACAAUAUUAUUAUUCUAAGCAAUGCA